CGGCGGACGGUGAGUAACACGUGGGUAACCUACCUAUAAGACUGGGACAACUUCGGGAAACCGGAGCUAAUACCGGAUAAGAUAUCGAACCGCAUGGUUCGAUAGUGAAAGAUGGUUUUGCUAUCACUUAUAGAUGGACCCGCGCCGUAUUAGCUAGUUGGUGAGGUAACGGCUCACCAAGGCAACGAUACGUAGCCGACCUGAGAGGGUGAUCGGCCACACUGGAACUGAGACACGGUCCAGACUCCUACGGGAGGCAGCAGNU
rnacentral:rRNA from 1 species